rnacentral:tRNA from 1 species
GACACUUUGGCGGAGUGGUUAACGCGAUGCCCUGCUACUGGCUGGUUAAGGCAUUUCUUUCGAGAGCGUAGGUUCGAAUCCUGCAGGUGUCG